AAUUUAGAUUCACAUAUAAUGUUGAAUAGUGCUCUUAUCCAAGGGUCUUGAAUUUCAUUAGUUUGCUUGAUUUAAGGAAUAAGGAAUCAUUCUUUGAGUAUUAUAAGGUGAUAAUUUUGGUCUGGGCAUGAUCAAAUCCAAUAAAGCCCAAAGGGCUUUAUGAUAGAAUUGAUCAUUCCCCAAUUGAAAUUAUCACCUCAUAGUAUUCAAAGAAUGGUUCUUUAUUACUUAUAUUAAUAUAAUUUUAAGCCAUCGUACAAUUAAAUUUUGAAAUAUAAAUAAGCAAACCCCGCUGGCACCUCAAUUUGGUGUCAUUUGAAGUUAUGGGUUAUAUAGUACCAAAUCGAUAUGUAGUGUUAUCACAGGCAAAGAGACUUGAAAUAUACUUGUAGAAGCCCAGUAGCAGAGGUUUUUUUGUCCUCACAUCAUCCAUGUUGUAUGGUCAGUUUCAAAGAAACUUUACUUCUUUACUUAUAGUCCUUUUUGUGCUGGUUAGCACUUCAGGCCAUCACAAGAGACUUCAAUACAUGUACUGGUCUGUCUUGUGUCCAUUUCUAGACUGUUGUUGUCCUUCAUUUCUUUCUCAGGUCUCUUUUGGUCUGCCUGUUUUUCUCUUUCUAGUUGGUGUCCACCUCAUUGCUACCCUUGGUUUGGAGGUUAGGUGUAUGACUAUCUCAUCCACUGCCAUUUUCUCCUACUUUUUAUAGUGGGAUGGUGUUGGUUCUUUUAUACAGCACUUCAUUGGUCAGGAAAUUGUAAAUGGCCAGAAGAUAUGCAGUACUCUAUAAAGACUUCAAGACUGGAAGGUGCCUUUCCAAGAUUCAGAUAUGGUAGAAAUAAUCUAUUAAAAUUUAUGAUACUUUUCUUGAAUCUUAGCAUAGUUAUAUAUUGGUAAGAGCAAUUAAACUUUGUCACUUUUAACCUUUAACUAUCAAUGCAAUUACUAUAACUUCACAAUUUCGGGUUUUAUUUGUAGUUCACUCAAGUAAGAUGAAGCAGCUUUUAUUCAUCUUGAUUCAAAGCUACAUAUUGAAAGGUGGGUCAUGUCCUCUGAACACAUUCUUGUGGCAAGCCUGAUCAACAUGAGAUGCUUCUCGCCAUAAACCACGAUAUAAUUCUAGAGGUAGAUGUUAUUGAUUCCUGGCCAAGAAUUCCAACAUUUAAUUACCUGAUGUCUAGGAAUAUUAUCUAUAAAGGU